rnacentral:rRNA from 1 species
AGUGAACGCUGGCGGUAGGCCUAACACAUGCAAGUCGAACGGCAGCACAGUAAGAGCUUGCUCUUACGGGUGGCGAGUGGCGUACGGGUGAGGAAUACAUCGGAAUCUACUUUUUCGUGGGGGAUAACGUAGGGAAACUUACGCUAAUACCGCAUACGACCUACGGUUGAAAGCAGGGGAUCUUCGGACCUUGCGCGAUUGAAUGAUCCGAUGUCGGAUUAGCUAGUUGGCGGGGUAAAGGCCCACCAAGGCGACGAUCCGUAGCUGGUCUGAGAGGAUGAUCAGCCACACUGGAACUGAGACACGGUCCAGACUCCUACGGGAGGCAGCAGUGGGGAAUAUUGGACAAUGGGCGCAAGCAUGAUCCAGCCAUACCGCGUGGGUGAAGAAGGCCUUCGGGUUGUAAAGCCCUUUUGUUGGGAAAGAAAAGCAGCAGGUUAAUACCCCGCUGUUCUGACGGUACCCAAAGAAUAAGCACCGGCUAACUUCGUG